CCACCAGAGAGCGGGACUUGACCAAACCUGACGCACCACCGCAGCCCUUCAGUUAAAUGCAUUAUCGUAAAUGUAGAAUUUCGAAAGAAUUUAAGAUUUUGACUUGAUCCACCUUUCAAGUUACGGAGGCGAGUGACCAGUUUACUCCGGAUGUGCUGAGCAGCACAGUCAUUAAUGCGUUUCCCUCCCAGGUUCAAAGCCCAUGUCCAGGUGUAAUACUCCUGAGCGCGGUACUCACAUUGAACCACUCCAGUAAUAGCUACCCAGCUCUAAAGAGGUAAAACAUUGUAAGCUGCUCUGGAAAGAAGCAUCAAAUAAAGGCAUAAAUAUUAAGCUUCAGUUGGGGGCAGCUGAUGGCGUAGUGCAUGGAACUGAUGGUUGCAGGUUUGAAUCCCACCUCCGGCUGUGGAACCUUUGAGAAAGGUACUUACCCUAAACUGCUCCGGUAAAAUCGCCCAGCGGUAAACAUGGGUAAAACGCCGCGAGUCGCUUCGGGGGAAAGUGCCAGGUUACCGCAGAUGUUUGCGGUCGCUCCGAACUCGACCGCGGAAGGUGACGGGCCUACAGCGAACGCGCCGGCGCCUCUCCCUCGGCAUCGCGCCGCCACGUGAAGGAUCUGGAGCACUCGUCAAUUGCACUUCCAAUCUUCGAUUAAUUAAUUUCGCUGUGCAUUGAUUACGCUCAUGUGUACGCCUCAUUUAGUAGAUCGGGGGGCGUAAUUAUAGCGCCGACGACGGUGCGCGCGCUCCCCGCAUGAGUCAUUAUUGCAGAGUCGAGCCGUUGGAGAGCUGUUGAGCGCCAGUUGGAGGAGUUCGCAUCCGCCGCUUUCCUCCGCGGGCCCCAGCGGCCGAGUCAAGCUUCUCGACGGGCCGACGGCGGAACGGGUUCGAGGCGCGGCGCUUCGGUCAAGGAGCUCGCGAUGAGGGCCCGGCUGACGGGGGGAGCUAUCGAUCACCGGCCGAGGGAGGAACGGGAGCGAUAGGAGGCGGGCUGCCGGUUCGAGGAGUCCACCGGCUGACCGGCGGCACCGGGCAGGAGGCCCACGCCGCAGCGGCAGGGCGCAGCGCGGCGGCCCAGAGUCCAUCCCGGAAGCUUGGGCUGCGAGGAAGGGUACACCUCCAGGAGACCAGUGCAUCGAAGGGCACCCAGUCUCUCUCUCACACACACACACUGAAAGUCUUUUGUUCCUAAGUCCACUUUUACCACUAUGUCACAAUCAAUAAAAGCUUAAUAAUA